rnacentral:rRNA from 1 species
AGAGUUUGAUCCUUGCUCAGGACGAACGCUGGCGGCGUGCUUAACACAUGCAAGUCGAACGAGCUUAAGAGAAGCUUGCUUUUCUUAAGCGAGUGGCGGACGGGUGAGUAACGCGUGAGUAACUUGCCUCGGACAGGGGAAUAACACAGGGAAACUUGUGCUAAUACCGCAUAAUGUGCGAGAGGGGCAUCCCUUUUGCGCCAAAGGAGCAAUCCGGUCUGAGAUGGACUCGCGUCCGAUUAGAUAGUUGGUGAGGUAACGGCCCACCAAGUCUGCGAUCGGUAGCCGGACUGAGAGGUUGAUCGGCCACAUUGGGACUGAGACACGGCCCAGACUCCUACGGGAGGCAGCAGUGGGGAAUAUUGCACAAUGGAGGAAACUCUGAUGCAGCGACGCCGCGUGAGGGAAGAAGGUCUUCGGAUUGUAAACCUCUGUUGUCAGGGACGAUAAUGACGGUACCUGACGAGGAAGCCACGGCUAACUUACGUGCCAGCAGCCGCGGUAAAACGUAGGUGGCAAGCGUUGUCCGAAAUUACUGGGUGUAAAGGGAGCGCAGGCGGAUUUGCAAGUUGGAAGUGAAACUCAUGGGCUCAACCCAUGAACUGCUUUCAAAACUGCAGAUCUUGAGUGGUGUAGAGGUAGGCGGAAUUCCCGGUGUAGCGGUGGAAUGCGUAGAUAUCGGGAGGAACACCAGUGGCGAAGGCGGCCUACUGGGCACUAACUGACGCUGAGGCUCGAAAGCAUGGGUAGCAAACAGGAUUAGAUACCCUGGUAGUCCAUGCCGUAAACGAUGAUUACUAGGUGUGGGUGGAUUGACCCCAUCCGUGCCGCAGUUAACACAAUAAGUAAUCCACCUGGGGAGUACGACCGCAAGGUUGAAACUCAAAGGAAUUGACGGGGGCCCGCACAAGCAGUGGAGUAUGUGGUUUAAUUCGAAGCAACGCGAAGAACCUUACCAGGUCUUGACAUCCGAUGCAUAGCUAAGAGAUUAGUGAAGUCCUUCGGGACAUCGAGACAGGUGGUGCAUGGUUGUCGUCAGCUCGUGUCGUGAGAUGUUGGGUUAAGUCCCGCAACGAGCGCAACCCUUAUCGUUAGUUACUACGCAAGAGGACUCUAGCGAGACUGCCGUUGACAAAACGGAGGAAGGUGGGGAUGACGUCAAAUCAUCAUGCCCUUUAUGACCUGGGCUACACACGUACUACAAUGGCUAUUAACAAAGAGAAGCGAUACCGCGAGGUGGAGCAAACCUCACAAAAAUAGUCUCAGUUCGGAUCGCAGGCUGCAACCCGCCUGCGUGAAGCCGGAAUUGCUAGUAAUCGCGGAUCAGCAUGCCGCGGUGAAUACGUUCCCGGGCCUUGUACACACCGCCCGUCACACCAUGAGAGCCGGGGGGACCCGAAGUCGGUAGUCUAACCGCAAGGAGGACGCCGCCGAAGGUAAAACU